CUCCUCUCAGGAUUGCACCUGGAGAGUUUCCAGUACGCUGCCAGUCUCGGCGAUGGGAGGGAGGGUCAAGCAGAGGCCUACCCAUUCCAUUCCUAGCUUGGGCAGUGGCUAGCGAGUGGAAGGCAAUCUGCAACAAGU